rnacentral:siRNA from 1 species
AUAACUCUCAUACCAUUCUUCACC